UACGUAGGUGGCAAGCGUUGUCCGGAUUUACUGGGCGUAAAGAGCGCGCAGGCGGUCGUUCAAGUCGCGUGUGAAAGCCCCCGGCUCAACUGGGGAGGGUCACGCGAUACUGAUCGACUCGAAGGCAGGAGAGGGAAGUGGAAUUCCCGGUGUAGUGGUGAAAUGCGUAGAUAUCGGGAGGAACACCAGUGGCGAAGGCGACUUCCUGGCCUGUUCUUGACGCUGAGGCGCGAAAGCUAGGGGAGCAACGGGAUUAAGAAACCC
rnacentral:rRNA from 1 species